UAAUACGGAGGGUGCAAGCGUUAAUCGGAAUUACUGGGCGUAAAGCGCGCGUAGGCGGCUCUUUAAGUCGGAUGUGAAAGCCCCGGGCUCAACCUGGGAACUGCAUCCGAUACUGGAGGGCUAGAGUGUAGGAGAGGGAGGUAGAAUUCCAUGUGUAGCAGUGAAAUGCGUAGAUAUAUGGAGGAAUACCAGUGGCGAAGGCGGCCUCCUGGCUUAACACUGACGCUGAGGUGCGAAAGCGUGGGGAGCAAACGGGAUUAGAUACCCCGGUAGUCCACGCCGUAAACGAUGUCUACUAGCUGUAGGGGUACUUGAGACCUUUGUAGCGCAGCUAACGCACUAAGUAGACCGCCUGGGGAGUACGGCCGCAAGGUUA
rnacentral:rRNA from 1 species